UGCUGCUGUUGCUGGGAGAGGGAGAGUAGAUGCUGCUGCAGAUGCAUGGCCAGCCCAGCCAGCGAGACUGCGCUCUAAUGUCGUUUAUAAGGAGACUGAAUAGUACCACUCACCUGUGCAGAGUAGAAGCUGGGGAGAGAGUGACUUGUUUGCAAUUCAUAAAUAUGCUGGAAAGAUUCCUGGAA